GUCCAGGACACAGAUGGUACCUGUGUCAUCACAGUCCAGGACACAGAUGGUACCUGUGUCAUCACAGUCAAGUACCUCGGGAUGGUUGUUGGAGCAGAUCUUGCAGGAUCACCCUGUUCCUGAACAUAGUGAGAAAAAUGCUUAGCAGGCAGCAGAGGGAUUUAACAGCAAAGCAGAAAAGAAGCAUUCUUUAGGGCUUUAUCUGUUUCCAAAUGUCUGACUCCACAAGGAGCCAUUUCGCACUGCUGAUGAGGGCUGGUCAUUCUAUCUUUCUAACAAAUGACAGACAGUAUCCACAACUCAAUCAGAAACCUGUUAGAGGCCUGCCUUAAAAAGUUUGGAUUUCUCUUCAGAUUGCAGGCUCCUGUGUUAUCACAUUGGGCCAAAUUCUGCCCUCAAGUGUAUCCUUGCAUAGCUCUUCUGGACUUCAAAGAGAGCUGCACAUAUGUGUCUUAAAGCAAAA